CCAGCCAAGUCGCGUGAGGGAUGAAGGUUCUAUGGAUCGUAAACCUCUUUUAUAAGGGAAUAAAGUGCGGGACGUGUCCCGUUUUGUAUGUACCUUAUGAAUAAGGAUCGGCUAACUCCGUGCCAGCAGCCGCGGUAAUACGGAGGAUCCGAGCGUUAUCCGGAUUUAUUGGGUUUAAAGGGAGCGUAGGCGGACUAUUAAGUCAGCUGUGAAAGUUUGCGGCUCAACCGUAAAAUUGCAGUUGAUACUGGUCGUCUUGAGUGCAGUAGAGGUAGGCGGAAUUCGUGGUGUAGCGGUGAAAUGCUUAGAUAUCACGAAGAACUCCGAUUGCGAAGGCAGCUUACUGGACUGUAACUGACGCUGAUGCUCGAAAGUGUGGGUAUCAAACAGGAUUAGAUACCCUGGUAGUCCACACAGUAAACGAUGAAUACUCGCUGUUUGCGAUAUACAGCAAGCGGCCAAGCGAAAGCAUUAAGUAUUCCACCUGGGGAGUACGCCGGCAACGGUGAAACUCAAAGGAAUUGACGGGGGCCCGCACAAGCGGAGGAACAUGUGGUUUAAUUCGAUGAUACGCGAGGAACCUUACCCGGGCUUAAAUUGCAAAUGAAUAUAGUGGAAACAUUAUAGCCGCAAGGCAUUUGUGAAGGUGCUGCAUGGUUGUCGUCAGCUCGUGCCGUGAGGUGUCGGCUUAAGUGCCAUAACGAGCGCAACCCUUAUCUUUAGUUACUAACAGGUCAUGCUGAGGACUCUAGAGAGACUGCCGUCGUAAGAUGUGAGGAAGGUGGGGAUGACGUCAAAUCAGCACGGCCCUUACGUCCGGGGCUACACACGUGUUACAAUGGGGGGUACAGAAGGCAGCUACACAGCGAUGUGAUGCUAAUCCCAAAAGCCUCUCUCAGUUCGGAUUGGAGUCUGCAACCCGACUCCAUGAAGCUGGAUUCGCUAGUAAUCGCGCAUCAGCCACGGCGCGGUGAAUACGUUCCCGGGCCUUGUACACACCGCCCGUCAAGCCAUGAAAGCCGGGGGUACCUGAAGUCCGUAACCGCAAGGAGCGGCCUAGGGUAAAACUGGUAAUUGGGGCUAAGUCGUAACAAGGUAGCCGUACCGGAAGGUGCGGCUG
rnacentral:rRNA from 1 species